rnacentral:rRNA from 1 species
UGGGGAAUCUUGGACAAUGGGGGCAACCCUGAUCCAGCCAUGCCGCGUGAGUGAUGAAGGCCUUAGGGUCGUAAAGCUCUUUCGCCUGUGAAGAUAAUGACGGUAGCAGGUAAAGAAACCCCGGCUAACUCCGUGCCAGCAGCCGCGGUAAUACGGAGGGGGUUAGCGUUGUUCGGAAUUACUGGGCGUAAAGCGCACGUAGGCGGACCAGAAAGUUGGGGGUGAAAUCCCGGGGGCUCAACCCCGGAACUGCCUCCAAAACUAUUGGUCUAGAGUUCGAGAGAGGUGAGUGGAAUUCCAAGUGUAGAGGUGAAAUUCGUAGAUAUUAGGUGGAACACCAGUGGCGAAGGCGCCUAACUGGUCCGGUACUGACGCUGAGGAACGAAAGCGUGGGGAGCAAACAGGAUUAGAUACCCUGGUAGUCCACGCCGUAAACGAUGAGUGCUAGAUGUUGGGAUUUUC